rnacentral:rRNA from 1 species
UACGUGGGGUGCGAGCGUUGUUCGGAAUUACUGGGCGUAAAGCGCGUGUAGGCGGUUCGCUAAGUUCGAUGUGAAAGCCCUGGGCUUAACCCAGGAACUGCAUUGAAAACUGGCGGACUUGAGUCCGGGAGAGGGUCGCGGAAUUCCUGGUGUAGAGGUGAAAUUCGUAGAUAUCAGGAGGAACACCGGUGGCGAAGGCGGCGACCUGGACCGGUACUGACGCUGAGACGCGAAAGCGUGGGGAGCAAACAGG